UACGUAGGGUGCAAGCGUUGUCCGGAAUCAUUGGGCGUAAAGAGCUCGUAGGCGGUUUGUCGCGUCUGCUGUGAAAACCCGAGGCUCAACCUCGGGCCUGCAGUGGGUACGGGCAGACUAGAGUGCGGUAGGGGAGAUUGGAAUUCCUGGUGUAGCGGUGGAAUGCGCAGAUAUCAGGAGGAACACCAAUGGCGAAGGCAGAAUCUCUGGGCCGUAACUGACACUGAGAGACGAAAGCUAGGGGGAGCGAAUGGG
rnacentral:rRNA from 1 species